GCAGUUUCCCACAAGACAGGGGUACAAGUUGAGAAGGGUCUGUGGAGAUGCCUCUGUUCAGCCAAGGUCUGAAGUGGGCUUUGGAACCAAGGGACUUCUCGCACAAAGGCACUUGGCGGCCAGGAGGGAAAGUUUCCUGCAGGGCAAACCUUCUUCUCAGCCCUGGCUCCAAGACAGCAGGGGUUGAUCUGCUCACAGAGACCUGCCUUUCCUCUCUAAGUGGGGGAGAGGAGAGGAAGCCAGCUGACUGCUGGCUAAAAAAGAAAGAUGAACUCAGUCUGAACUUGAGCCAGGCCCCGGAGAGAGCCCAUCCCCCAUCAGCUGGCUGUCUCCUGUUCCUCUUGCAGACCAGGGGCCUGCUUGUGGGAGCCUGAUAUAGGACUGAGGACUCCUGGGGCUACCACCAGGGCCCACCCCAUCACUCAGCUGAGUCACAGCCACCACUGAAGUGAAGGACUCAGGAGAAGCCCAGGGGUAGGCUUGGUAAGGGACCUGAGCAAUAGUCUGGACAAGAGUGGAUGUUGGAGACAGUCACCUGCGACCCUGCUGCCGGAAGAAGCAAGGUGUGCUCUCCUGAGAGCCACAAGCUACAACUCUGGUCCACCACAAGAGCAGAAAUAGAGCCAAGUUGGAGCCCCAGCCUCAACCACUACAGCCUCAGUGGAAAGGGUUCACAUCCCCUUUGGGUCUGAGAACUUUGGACUGCUCAUCUCAAAAUGGUGGCCUGGCCAGUCCUCAUCUGGCCACGUCCCAUUCCCAGGAGGAUAGAGGACUGGAAGGACUGUUCUGGGAGAGAGAGAAGGGGGAAGCUGAGGGGACAGAGCUGCCUCCAUGGGUCCCUAGGUGACCAGAGCCCUUGAACCACCUUCUCUCAACUGCAUGCUCAGGCCUCGUAUCCCUACCUUCGGUAGCCUCUGGGUAACUCCCUGAGUGUGACUAUCAGGAGGUGUCACCACAGGCAAGGAACAAGGGGCCUCUUGAGGCUUGGUCUCUCUAUACUCUCUCUCUCUCUCUCUCUCUCUCUCUCUCUCUCUCUCUCUCUCUCUGAUGGCUCGUGUUGGUUAAUCACGGCCCACGGCCCAGGUUGAGCAGGGCUGAAAGCUACCCUAGCCCAUUGAGUCUAUAAAAGGCCUUCAGGACUUUGUCCCCGACAGGGGCUCCACCCUUUCCUUUACAAUGAGCUCUGCUUCCUGACUUUAGAGCUGGGUCACCGUGGCACUAAAGGGGUAGACGCCAUCUCCAUUCUGCCUUGCCCCUUCCACAGAGCCUUGCAGGAAUCCUCCCACCCUUGGACUAAGCAACCCGACAGAUCGCACUGCUGGGUUGGGUGAGUGGCAGAGGUGGGCACAAGCUAAACACGGCUCUCUAAUUAGCUCUGUCCCAGUUGGCAGGGUUGGCACAGGGUUCAGAGCACUCUCUACCAAGAGGUUACCAUUCCUGUUCUGGGCCCCAUGUUCAGGUCAGACCCUGAGGCUUCAUGGAACAGAGUAAGAGGAGGACCCUCUUCAGUGACCCCACUUUUGUGUCCCCCACUGCUGUAGGGAAGGGGCUUUGCUGGCCUGGACCCAGACUGCUAGGAAGUUCGGGACACACAAGUCAUGUCCUUAGGGGUCAUCUCCAGCCCUGGGCAGAUGAAGGCAAAUUAUAGUCUCUGCAGGCAAGGCUCCGGGAAUUUUAGGAAUGGAUCGUCAUCUGCCUGCUCCGUGAUGGUGAUGAAGAUGAUGGUCAGCAUCUUCAUCACCACCCCUCCAGCCACCAAGGCUUUUGGGGUGCCAGGCACCCACUCAGCCCUUUGCAGCCUCUGGUCCUUCUCUCUGCAUCCUAUAUAGAAACACUCAGAGAUUGUGUGGGGCUGGGGGGAGUCUCAGGAAAGGUCCCUUCUAGUCCUCCCAGCCCCAAGGAGACCGUGGGCUCAGCUAUACACACACACACACACACACACACACACACACACACACACACACACACACACACACACCUGCACCUGUUAUACUACAUAGCUUUUGGCGUUACUGCCCUGCCUUGAAUUCAAACACAGCUGCCCCAGCAGAGGUGGCUCCGGGUGGGGCUGUCCACUGUGAGUGAGCCUUGGAUGCUUGCCAUGGAGCCUAAGCAGGGGUUCUGCUCUGCCUGCGAGGCAUCUCCAGGGUGCCUGGUCCCAGUCUCUGUGCUAAGACCUGGAAUGCUAUCUCCUGCCCACUCACCCAGGUCCUUCCACUGAGGGGCAACGUGACCACAGGUACAAGUAAGUGUCUCAGAGAAACUUCCUAUCUCGUUACCAUUUAGACCUCUGUAUUUGGAGCCCUGAAGGCCAUCAGGGCGGGUGGCAUUGUCCCCAACCUUCAGAUGAGAAAAACCAAGGGCACAGGGACAGAAUGACUUGCCCCUGGUGCCAUCUCUAAUUUGGCAAAGCUGAAAUCCCUCCUUUUCUACCGGGCCUCCGAAGCUCUCUCUACCCUUCUAUCCACCUCAGUCCUGUUUCUCUCUUUGUGUCCGGUUCCUAGAUGUACACUGCUUAGAGACAGCGGGUGGGGGAGGAGGGAUGUUUAUCUCUGCAGCCAUCUUGGGUCUGAGUCACCCAACCUCCGCUGGAUUCCCGGGAAGACCGGAAGCUCACUCCCUCGUGCAGAUCUGGUCAGAAACCCACUCGAGGUGACGAUGGCUCAGGGUCUCCCUUGUCCCCCUUCCAGACCUCUCCCACCUGUACUCCCUUGCAGUCUAGACUCCAGAAGUGAACUCAAGGCAUACAGGAAGUCUACUUACUGGCCUCAGGACUGAGGCGGGCACCCAUUAGCCUGGGCUCCUCCUGGGACACAAGUCCUUGGUUCUGGAGAUGUCUGUGAAGGCCAGUGGUCAGGUUUAUGAGACUCUGAAGGUUCCCUUUUUAUAGGCUAGAGAUCACGUUACAGGGUUGAUGAUUAAUUAGAUGCUGUCACGCAUGACGAUAUCCGGGACUUUCCCCACGAUGUCUCGUGGCUCACAGUAGACCUGCUGCAGCAAGCCGGCCUGAGAAAAGGAAACAGGGACUGUGACUGUGGCUCCAGCAUAGGGUUCCUUCUCUCUGACUUCUAAUCAGCCCUUGUCUGUGAAUUACAACCACCCACAGCAUGUUAGUAAACACCUGUGCCCACCCCUAACCCCCUGCAAAGACUCUGGUGCCCCUGGCCUGGGGGGAGACCUGGGCAUCGGAAAUUUCAAAGAGCAUGCAGGAACUCCAGGAUGCAGCCAGCAUGGCUCACCAUGGCAACCCCACAUACAGAAGGUGCACAGCACUGCUGAAGUAGGUUAAACUGAAUGAGCUAAAUCCUGGGACCUGUGCAGUUGAGCCUGCCUGGUGGCGAGGCUGGUUUGGAGGUUUACAGAUACUCUGCAUCCCCCCCCACCCACACACACACAUACACACAUAUCACCAGCUUGAGUCUCUCCUGAGACUCCAGAUCAAGGCCACCGUCAGUGACUUCUUUGGACGCUUACAGAAAUGAAUAGUGCCGGGAGGUGGUGGCACACACCUUUAAUCCCAGGACUUGGGAGGCAGAAGCAGGUAGAUCACUAUGAGUUCAAGGCCAGCCUGGUCUACAGAGCGAGUUCCAGGAGAGCCAGGGCUACACAGAGAAACCCUGUCUCCACUGAGGAGAGACGUGGAGACCCAGGUUGUGCCCACUGUGUUACCUUAUUCAGAUCCUUUCGUCUUCUUUAGCUCCGGGAUACCCAAGUUAUAAAAUGGGAAACAGGAGGUACUGGUCUGAGGACCUCUUCCAGCCAGCAGCUGUGCCGAAGUGAGAAGUGGUGAGAAGAUGGGUGACAUCGGUAGCCCCGGAUACCUCACACUUUGCUGUAACCUCUGGACUUCUCUUUUCCUGACACACCCUUGCUGAGUGCCCUUUGUCUCCACACUAGAUGUAUUUCUUCUGCCGAGGCCAGAUGUAACUGCUCAAGAGUAAGUCCCAAUCCCUUGAGCCGGAGGCCAGCGGAUCCUAAAGGUUGCAGUUGGUCCAAUGCCCUGGCUGGCCCAGUCCGAGAGGCUCAGGCUCCUGGCACCUCCUGGAAGGCACACCAGUCUCUGGGUAGUGCUGGCUGCUCUUCCUUUGCUGGGUCUUACCUGUGGCAUUGGCUGCCUUGAGUGGCUGCCCAGGGCUGGAGCCAAGAGUUCCUUCCUGAUAAACCACAUUCCCCUACCAGAAGUACGUGCGGCAUCUUAUCAAAGUGCCCGCUCUGGGACUUUAGCCUUUAUAGAAAAUUACAGGGUUGGUUGUACACCAGCAGGCAGGUGGUGUGGCCCCAUGGGCAGGACCUGUAGCCUGCUCAGGCCGGCAGCCAGCAGGUGGAAAGGCAGGCUAGUUCAGACACCCACGUCCAAGUGAAUUUAGCUACUACACUAAUGGGGUUCAGGACAUCCAUUCUAAACAUUUGGGAAGUAGCAGGAAGGCCCCUCUCUUUUACUCCACCUUUCUCCCAUGAAGCCAGCCCUGAGCCCCUCACUCUAUGUUUACCGCUGACAUCAGGACAGGGGAGAACCUGAACAGAUUGUUCUUGCUAGGCCCCGCCCAGCUUAUCACCAUUUGUGAACACACACCCACCUUUGCCCCAGUGUUCUUCACUAUAAUAGUAUUUACGGUCACUCUUGGGCUCAAGUGCAAACCAGCAUGCAAACACACAGACUUCCCCCUUCUUUGGGUCUUUCUGAUUUGAAACUAGGCUCCAUACAGCCUCACCUUGAACUCACGACAUAGUUGAGGAUAACCUUAAACUCCCAAUCCUCCUGCCUCCACUCUCCAAUGCUGGGGAUCUAAACUGGGGCUUGGAGGCUGGUGAGAUGGCUUUCUGGGUGAAGACACAUGCCUGACCACCCAGGUUCAAUCCCAGGGACCCACAUGGCGGAGGGAGAGAACAGACUGUCGAAAGUCGUCCCUCUGACCUUCACACAUGUUCACGGCAUGUACAUAUCCAUACCCGCGAAAACAAAUUCAUUUAAUUAAACAAAAAUCACACACACACACACCAGGGCUUCAUGCCUGUUGAGCAAAGUCACCCUACCAAUUUACCUACAUUCCCAGUCCUGUGUCUUCAUUUUUCUUCUUUUGAAAUACUAUUUUAUUUAGUCUUUGACAAUUUCAUACAUGUAUAUAGUAUAAUUUUUUCAAUGUUUCUUUUGUUUUGGUUUGUUUUUUGUUUUUCAAGACAGGGUUUCUCUGUGUAACUUUGGAACCUGUCUUGGAACUCGAUCUGUAGACCAGCUCGCCUCAGACUCACAAGAUCAGCCUGCCUCUGCCUCUCAAGUCCUGGGAUUAAAGGCAUGUGCCACCACCACUCGGCUAUUUUUCAACCUUAAAUUUUAUUUUUAUUAUGUAUAUUGUAUGUGUCUGUAUGUACAUUCACCUAAAUGUGGGUGUCCUCGGAGGCCAGAAGAUUUGGAUCCACUUGGAGCUAAACUUACAGGUAGUUGUAAGAUAACUCAGGUCCUCUGGAGAAUCAAUAAGCCUAUGUAUGAUGUAUUUUGAUUAUAAUCACCCCAUCUCUCUCUUGUCCCCUCCUACCCUAUCUGGACCCUUUCUUCUUCCCAACGAGUCCCUCUCCAACUUUUUUUUUUUUUUUUUUUUUUUCGAGACAGGGUUUCUCUGUGUAGCUUUGCUCCUUUCCUGGAACUCACUUGGUAGCCCAGGCUGGCCUCGAACUCACAGAGAUCCGCCUGCCUCUGCCUCCCGAGUGCUGGGAUUAAAGGCAUGUGCCACCACCGCCCCGGCCAACUUUUUUUUUUUUAAUGACCCACUGAAUUUAAUUAAGCUUGCCAGCAGACAUAUGCAUGGGUGUGGGUUACUGAAUGGAUCGAAGGCAAUUUUCUGGUGGUUACACCCUGAACAAAGAUGACUCCCCCUCCCUCAGUAAUUACCAAGAACCCCUCAACUUGAGGUGGAUCCUUGUAUGCCCCUCCCCCAUCUGGGUUUCUAUUUCUGGAAGGCUCCAGGUACCAUAAAACUUUACAUCCAUACUAAAUGCUUGUGCUUUACCACAGAGGCGCCUGAGAACUCUUCACACCAGCCAAGUUGUGCAGUCAAGCCGAGGCGCCCAUCAAGAGAUGAGGGAAAUGUGAGUCUGUGCAAUGCAGUUUUCUUCAGCCGUAAAGAAUGGAGUUCUGUCAUUUGCAGGGAAAGGGCCAGAACUGGAGAUCGCGUUAAGUGAAACAAGCCAGGCUCAGAAAGACAGACGUCAUCAGUUUCCUCUCCUACAAAGAAAGCAAAAUUUAAAAAGUACGGUGCAUACUGCUAGGAGCUGUAGCUCGGUGAUACAGUGCGUGCCCGGCAUGCCUGAGGUCCUGGGUUCGAUCCCUGGGAUGGCAAAGGAAGGAAGGAAGACUUGAAAGUACAAGGGGCCCUUUGUGGGUGGAGCUUUGUCGACUGGAGACAGACUUCACUCCUUCUCCCAGGCUGGUUUGGAAUUCACAGCCAGCUUCCUGCCUCGGUCUCCAAAGUUCUGGGGUCAUAGGUGUGAGGCACCAUGCUCAGCUGGAAGGAACUCUUUGGGAAGAGGCAGGGGAUGGCAGUGGGAGUUAAAUAUGAUCAAAGAUGUUACAAAUGUGUGUGAAAACGGCAUGAUGACA